AUACGGAGGGCGCAAGCGUUAAUCGGAAUCACUGGGCGUAAAGCGCGCGUAGGCCGCCUUUUAAGUCGGACGUGAAAGCCCUCGGCUCAACCGAGGAACUGCGUUCGAAACUGGGAGGCUUGAGUCCUGGAGAGGGUGGCGGAAUUCCGGGUGUAGGAGUGAAAUCCGUAGAUAUCCGGAGGAACACCGGCGGCGAAGGCGACCACCUGGACAGGUACUGACGCUGAGGCGCGAAAGCGUGGGGAGC
rnacentral:rRNA from 1 species